rnacentral:rRNA from 1 species
GACGAACCACACAAACGUUAUUCGGAAUUACUGGGCUUAAAGGGUGCGUAGGCGGCGCGGAAAGUAGGGUGUGAAAUCCCUCGGCUCAACCGAGGAAUUGCGCCCUAAACUACCGUGCUCGAGGGAGAUAGAGGUGAGCGGAACUUAGGGUGGAGCGGUGAAAUGCGUUGAUAUCCUAAGGAACACCGGUGGCGAAAGCGGCUCACUGGAUCUCAUCUGACGCUGAGGCACGAAAGCUAGGGUAGCGAACGGG